AGCUGAUCGGAGCCUGGAGCCGGUGUGUGCUGGGUGCCGAGAAGAGACAGCGCCGCCGGCCGUGGGGAGCGGACGCAGUGAUUUGCUCCCCCUCGUGCAGCAACCCCCACACCCAGCACCAGGCCCCCAGAACUCUCCUUCCAGCUGAACUCCCUGGGAACAAGUCAGUUGGGCUGAUCACUGAACUCACAUUUCUGGACCUGAGGAGCCUGUUCCUCUCACGCCCUCACCUGGCUGAGCCGCAGUAGUUCUUCAGUGGCAAGCUUUAUGUCCUGACCCAGCUAAAGCUGCCAGUUGAAGAACUGUUGCCCUCUGCCCCUGGCUUCGAGGAGGAGGAGGAGCUGCUUUCCCCAUCAUCUGGAAGCGGCUACAGGAAGCUGUGUCUGUUCGAUUUGGUGGGAGGAGAUGUGCAGGGAGCUGUAUCUUGUCCUCCGCUUGUGAAAAACUCAAGGAUGUGGAGAAGAGUAGACCGUGGAACCCUGCUCUUCUGCAGCCAAGCUGAGGGGCAGGAUGCGUGUGGGACAGUGGUAGAGAAGCAGGGGAUAGACUCAUAGGCUGCAACAAAGGUGACUCUGUCCCUGGACACUGCCUCCGUACUUUCUCCUUGCUUCACUGGCCACAGCAUCUCCCUCCAGCCCUCGCUAUGUGCCUCUGCCAUCUUCACCCAUCAUGGAGCAGAGGUGAGGAGAGGCAGCCUGGGAAUAUGGAGACCAGUGAAGGACCAGGCCUGGAGAGCACAGGGUCCUACCUGGGCAUCCAGCAGAGGAGCCCCUAAAGGCCAGGAGCACCCCAAGAGGAGGGAGGGCAGCCAGCCUCCAUUGACGGCGAGCCUCCAGCCCUCUCCUACUUUGAUCACCAUUUCUCUCCAGGCUUUCUGCCUCCGAGAUGUGGCACCAUAGUGCGGUGCCCUGUGGCUUCACCGCCCUACUUCCACCUCCGCCCAGCCUGUAAUGUUUAUAUAAGCAGCCUCAAGGACCAAGAACCAUCUGCGAAAGGACACACACAGGAAAUUCAUAAAAGAAAUCUGAAUGGAUAAAACCAUGAAAAAAAGUAUGCUUCAUUAGUAAUUAAAGAAAGGCAAAUAGAGCUGGAAGCAUUUUUCCCUUAGCAAACCAUAACAGAAAAAAAUAAGACCCAAUAUUGGCAAAGAGACUACUGAAAAAACAUUCCCAUACAUUGCGUGUGGGAGUAUACAUCGGUGCAGGCUUCCUGGAUGACAGUUGGGUGAUAUGUGUCAUGUGGCCUAAAAGCCUCCAUGUCAUUUGACCUACGAAUUCUAUCUUUGGGAAUUUAUCCUAAGAAAAUACUUAAGGAUUUAGUUAGUGAUAAGAUGUUCAUCCCAGCAUUGCAAUGGAGAAAAAUGGGAAGCAAUGGUUUGGUUGGGAAUUUAUUCCUUUUCUGCUGUAACGAAAGUUUGCAAUAGGGGAUUGCUUAAGUAAAUUAUUGUAUCUCCAUCCAGAUGGUGGAGUACCGCGCAGACAUUAAAAGUCAUGUAAAAGAACAUCUGACUGAAAGAAAAAUGCUCCUUGAAUAUUAAAAGGUUGUAAAAAUAGUGCAUGUUAUGUGAUUUCAAUUUUGUUUUUUAAAAUAUGGGUGUAUGCUUGUAUACGUAGAGCAGAUAAAAAAGACGGAAGGCAUACUAAAAAAUGUUGAGUGGUUAUCUUUGUAUGGUGGAACAAAGUCACUGUAAUUUUCAUCUUUGGUUUUUCUGUAAUUUCCAAAUUUUCCACAUUUUGUAUUUCAUAUAAUAUAAUUUAAGAGAUCA
ensembl:lncRNA MIR22HG MIR22 host gene